rnacentral:misc_RNA from 1 species
GAGAACCAAGAGAUCCAUUGUUGAAAGUUUUGAAGUUGUUUUCUACUAAAAGAAAUCUUGUGUUGACUGAAUUAGUUUAAAAAAAUAUUUGUUUGUGUUUGCAUCCACUGGGAGAACUCCCUCCCGAAAGAGAGCGUUCCCCCAACGAACAAAAGAAUAGUAGUAAAGUAAACUCCACUGUGUGUAGUAAUUAGAAAGUGUCGAGUCGUGUGAUAAAACACCUCCUUUGGAAUAGAGAGAUCCACGCACACUCCCAGGUCUUUGUCGGCUCCCUCCCCCCACUGCAGAACACCCACCAACCGCGCACUUAAGCGCAGGCAGGAGAAAUAGCAUUCACAGCAGAGAAAAUAUUUUAG